UGCAGUCGAGCGAUGGAUUAAGAGCUUGCUCUUAUGAAGUUAGCGGCGGACGGGUGAGUAACACGUGGGUAACCUGCCCAUAAGACUGGGAUAACUCCGGGAAACCGGGGCUAAUACCGGAUAACAUUUUGAACCGCAUGGUUCGAAAUUGAAAGGCGGCUUCGGCUGUCACUUAUGGAUGGACCCGCGUCGCAUUAGCUAGUUGGUGAGGUAACGGCUCACCAAGGCAACGAUGCGUAGCCGACCUGAGAGGGUGAUCGGCCACACUGGGACUGAGACACGGCCCAGACUCCUACGGGAGGCAGCAGUAGGGAAUCUUCCGCAAUGGACGAAAGUCUGACGGAGCAACGCCGCGUGAGUGAUGAAGGCUUUCGGGUCGUAAAACUCUGUUGUUAGGGAAGAACAAGUGCUAGUUGAAUAAGCUGGCACCUUGACGGUACCUAACCAGAAAGCCACGGCUAACUACGUGCCAGCAGCCGCGGUAAUACGUAGGUGGCAAGCGUUAUCCGGAAUUAUUGGGCGUAAAGCGCGCGCAGGUGGUUUCUUAAGUCUGAUGUGAAAGCCCACGGCUCAACCGUGGAGGGUCAUUGGAACUGGGAGACUUGAGUGCAGAAGAGGAAAGUGGAAUUCCAUGUGUAGCGGUGAAAUGCGUAGAGAUAUGGAGGAACACCAGUGCGAAGGCGACUUUCUGGUCUGUAACUGACACUGA
rnacentral:rRNA from 1 species